rnacentral:rRNA from 1 species
UACGUAGGGGGCUAGCGUUGUCCGGAAUCAUUGGGCGUAAAGCGCGUGUAGGCGGUCCGGUAAGUCCGCUGUGAAAGUCGGGGGCUCAACCCUCGGAUGCCGGUGGAUACUGUCGGGCUUGAGUACGGAAGAGGCGAGUGGAAUUCCUGGUGUAGCGGUGAAAUGCGCAGAUAUCAGGAGGAACACCAAUUGCGAAGGCAGCUCGCUGGGCCACACCUGACGCUGAGACGCGAAAGCUAGGGGAGCGAACAGG